rnacentral:tRNA from 1 species
GGUCCUGUGGCUUAGUCUGGCUAUAGCACUCGACUGAUAAUCGAGAGGUCGUCGGUUCAAAUCCGAUCGGGACCA